AACAGGCUUAUCUCCCCCAAGAGUCCACAGCGACGGGGAGGGUUGGCACCUCGAUGUCGGCUCAUCACAUCCUGGGGCUGUAGGAGGUCCCAAGGGUUGGGCUGUUCGCCCAUUAAAGUGGUACGCGGGCUGGGUUCAGAACGUCGUGAGACAGUUCGGUCCCUAUCCGUCGCAGGCGUAGGAAAUUUGAGAAGACCUGUCCUUAGUACGAGAGGACCGGGAUGGACGUACCUCUGGUGUACCAGUUGU
rnacentral:rRNA from 1 species